rnacentral:rRNA from 1 species
UACGAAGGGGGCUAGCGUUGUUCGGAAUUACUGGGCGUAAAGCGCGCGCAGGCGGUCUUCCAAGUCAGUGGUGAAAGCCCGGAGCUCAACUCCGGAACUGCCAUUGAAACUGUAAGACUUGAGGACGAGAGAGGUGAGUGGAAUUCCCAGUGUAGAGGUGAAAUUCGUAGAUAUUGGGAAGAACACCGGUGGCGAAGGCGGCCAUCUGGACCAGUAUACGUGACGCUGAGGCGCGAAAGCGUGGGGAGCAAACAGGG